rnacentral:rRNA from 1 species
CCUACGGGAGGCAGCAGUGGGGAAUAUUGGGCAAUGGAGGAAACUCUGACCCAGCAACGCCGCGUGAAGGAUUAAGGUCCUCGGAUUGUUAACCUCUGUCGCGAGGGAUGCAGUAUGACGGUACCUUGUAAGACAGCCCCGGCACACUACGUGCCAACAGCAGCGGUAAUACGCAGGGGGCGAGCGUUGUCCGGGAUGACUGGGCGUAAAGGGAGUGUAGGCGGUAUAUUAAGUUAUGUGGGAAAGCCCGCGGCUGAACCGCGGAAUUGCACAUACAACUGGUAGGCUGGAGUGCAGGAGAAGUAUGCGGAAUGCGCGGUGUAGCGGUGGAAUGCGUAGAUAUCGGGAAGAACACCAGAGGCGAAGGCGGCAUACUGGAGUGUAACUGACGCUGAGGCUCGAAGGCGUGGGGAGCGAACAGGAUUAGAUACCCCUGUAGUC